rnacentral:rRNA from 1 species
UACGUAGGAUGCAAGCGUUGUCCGGAAUUAUUGGGCGUAAAGGGCGCGCAGGCGGUAGGUCAAGUCAGACGUGAAAGCCCCCGGCUUAACCGGGGAGGGUCGUUUGAAACUGACCAACUAGAGUGCAGUAGAGGAAGGUAGAAUUCUGGGUGUAGUGGUGAAAUGCGUAGAUAUCCAGAGGAAUACCAGUGGCGAAGGCGGCCUUCUGGGCUGUAACUGACGCUGAGGCGCGAAGGCUAGGGGAGCAAACAGG